UACAGAGGGUGCGAGCGUUGUCCGGAAUCACUGGGCGUAAAGGGCGCGUAGGUGGCCUUGUUAGUCAGACGUGAAAUCCCCAAGCUUAACUUGGGAACUGCGUCUGAUACUGCAAGGCUUGAGUUCGGGAGAGGGAUGUGGAAUUCCAGGUGUAGCGGUGAAAUGCGUAGAUAUCUGGAGGAACACCGGUGGCGAAGGCGGCAUCCUGGACCGAAACUGACACUGAGGCGCGAAAGCUAGGGGAGCAAACGGG
rnacentral:rRNA from 1 species